GUGAACACAGUAAAUGCUGAGAUGAUCACCUACAUGUGCCCUGGAGGGGACGGGCCUGUAAAACCCUUUUUAGAAAAGAUGAGCAGGGCAUAUGAGUACAUUAUUAAAAAUUCUCAAAGGAUGCAAUUGCCAGAAGCUCCCAGCCCAUCUCCAACUCCACAGUCUACCACCUCUCCCUCCCAACCCUCUUCUCCUACUCAUCCUCCAGACCCUUCCACCUUUCUCCCAUCUACUUCUCAUCCCCAAAUGGACUAUGAGGAGGAGACUUACACCCUAACCCUCAUCCCUGUCCAGCCUCCAAGCACCGCCUCAGCAUCUCUCCCUCAAAACACCAUGACUGAAAGGAAGAGAAGAGGUAAAAGUGAGCUGGCUGCCUUGUUCCUCAUGGUGAUCCUAAUUUGACCUUCGCUAGACUAUCUUUAAGAAGAUAAGUCUGUGUGGAAAGGACUGUUCAAACGGAAGCCAAACAAAAAAGAGGCUGAAGAAAAGGGUUUGGAUGAGACUGACAAGUCAGACAGCAAUCUCCUAUUGCCUCAAUGUGCACCACUGAGGACAUAGAGGGUCCAGCAAAAGCAGACCUGAGCUCUGUCCCUCUGGAGUUGGUGAAUGUGGAGGUAAAUGAUGACGAGGUCAUGAGGAACUACAUCAUCAGAGAAAUUGACGCAGGACUAGGAACCUCCCUGAACAUCGGGACUGCUUCAAAAGCAGACCUGAACUCUGUCCCUUUUGAACUUCUGGACGUGGAGGAAAAUGAGAUCGUACCAGAAGAUAAACUAGAUCAUAAAUCCACCAGCAGCUCGUCUCCACCACACCUUCACAGUGAGAGGUCUUCAGUUGCAGAGGAAGACCUACGUUUUGUCCCUCUGGAGAUGGAGGACCCCUCUGCAUCACGACGGACAACGUGUUACAUAUGGUGCUGGCUGCACGGCUUAAUGAAUGGAGGAGGCUCCAGUGUUUUGGGCACAGAUUACAUCUUGCCAUUGAAAAUGCACUCAAGGAUGACAGAGUGUCAAGGGCAACAGCACUGUGCAGGAAGCUGGUGGGGCACUUAUCCCACAGUUGGAAGAAGAAGGCAGCACUGACGGAGGCACAGAGGAAGCUCAAACUCCCUGAGCACAACCUCAUAACUGAGUGCUCAAUAAGAUGGGGAUCUAAAGAAAUGAUGAUUGCCAGAGUGCUUGAAUAGACCUGAAAUCUGUCCUUUUGGAACUUCUGGACGUGGAGAAUGAGGAGAUCCUACCAGAAGAUCAACAAGAUCAAAAAUCCACCAGCAGCUCGUCCCCACCACACCUUCACAGAAAGAGGUUUCCAGUGGCAGAGAAAGACCUGAGCUCUGUUCCUCUGGAGUUUACAGAUAUGGACACAAACACAAUCUACACCUUGAUCAUGUGUUUUUUGGACAGCCUUACCAAAGAGCAGCGGACAGAACUACGCAAAUGUCAUUACAGCAUGAACAUGAAAAAACAAGAUUGCUGACGUGACUGCAGAGGUGUUUAUGCACAUUACACAGGCAGUCAGUCACAACAUUGACAAGUGUUCAAUCGGCGGUGAAUUGGUGGACACAGCCGGAGGAUUAACACCCAAACUCAAUGGAGACAAUUGAAAAAAUUAGAAACUCUGUUCUGUCAGAGAUACAACAGGCAUGCCUGUUGUCACUAAGAAGAGGUGGUUUGGCAAAUUGCAUAAAAAUAAGGUUAAUCCCAUUUCAGAUGUAUCAGAUAACAAUAGCGCUGCUUCUCUGAAAUUUGUUGAUCAGAACGCCACACCAAAAAAUCAACGUGUGGACGAGAAUGACUCUGUUGAAGAGAAUCCAUCAGUUCUGCUGCUGUUCGAGCUGCAGUGAUGUAAAUUCUCUCAACCCCCUUCCUCCAAGCCCAGCUUCUGAAGUCCCAGCAAGAACAGUUAGCGAUUCAUGCCUGAAGACACCAGCCAAAAUUGGUGAUAAUCAUUAAUGGGCCGCAAAUUAUUUUGAUUUUUUAAAGCUUGGGAAUUUUACUUUAAGAUGUUUAGCACAUUUAAAUGAGGCACCUCAGCUGAGCCUUUAGUUUGCUUUGCCCUUGCCUUUGCUUUACUUUUUCUUUGCUUUACCUUAACUUGUCUUUGUUUGCCUUUGCUUUCCUUUUUCCUUCCCUUUCCCUUUGCUUUGCCUUGCCCUUCUUUUGCUCUAGUCAUUCCCCUUAACCUUUACCUUGCUUUGGCUUUGCUUUGCUUUUCUUUGCCUUGCUUUGCCUUUGCCUUUGCAUGCCUUUUCUUUCCUUUGACUUAAACACAGCCAGCCUGUUAUACCUGCUAUCCCUUGCCCCCUUCCUUUACCCCUCUCCACUCUCGCUACACCAAUUUCAACCUAUGCAUCCCAUACCCCUUUAUUCUCCCUCUCCCUUUCUCUCACAACCCAACCAGUUGAGGCAGAUGGCUGCCCACCCAGAGCCUGGUUCUGCUCAAGGUUUCUUUCUGUUAAAAGGGAGUUUUUACUUGCCACUGUCACCGGAUGUUUGCUCAUGGUGGGAAUUGUUGGAUCAUUGGAUUAUUAAACAGUACAGUCUAUUAUAUAUAUAUUUAAAGUGUCAUGAGCUGAUCUCUGUUAUGAUUUAGCUCUAUAUAAAUAAAAAGUUCAAACUUUACAUUGAAAUAAACUGAUUCACACCAUUUUUUUCAGUUAAGCUGUACACAGAACAAAUGUGUCAGAAAAGUACUAUGAAAGGCACAGAAAAGGUCCUUAAGGUGAUAACUAUGGACAUUUGUUUCAUUUUAAAGGUACAAAGUCAUGGCUGUCAAGAAAGGGGUACACAAUUAUACUUUCAACAAGUUUAAGGUACAAGAAAAUGCCACAGCAAAUAA